AUUGAACGCUGGCGGCAGGCCUAACCCAUGCAAGUCGAACGAGUGGCGGAAGGGUGAGUAAUGUCUGGGACACUGCCUGAUGGAGAGGGAUAACUACUGGAAACGGUAGCUAAUCCCGCAUACCAUCGGAUGAGCCCCGAUGGGAUGAGCUAGUAGGUAGGGUAAAGGCUCACGUAGGCGACGAUCCCUAGCUGGUCUGAGAGGAGGACCAGCCACACGGUAACUGAGACACGGUCCAGACUCCUACGGGAGGCAGCAGUGGGGAAUAUUGCACAAUGGGCGCAAGCCUGAUGCAGCCAUGCCGCGUGUAUGAAGAAGGCCUUCGGGUUGUAAAGUACUUUCAGCGGGGAGGCGUUACCCGCAGAAGAAGCACCGGCUAACUCCGUGCCAGCAGCCGCGGUAAUUC
rnacentral:rRNA from 1 species